GAGUGGGCGGGCCGGCAACGGGCGCAAAAUGUGACUCCGGCUCAAGCAGAGUUGACGCAAUUUUCACUCAUCAGAAUGUCCGUUUCGCAACUCAAAAGCUCUACUCAUGGUAUCCAAGUCUCAACGGUUUACUAACAACAAUCUGUAAUACUCCUUUGUAUACGUCAAAGAGGCGGCUUAUCAUUUUCAUUCUAGGUAAGAAAUAAAUAUUUUGUGGUUUACUUAAAGACCGUCUCAUUUUUGAGGAACUUGUUGCAAAUGUACUUGGCACACCUGUAGACUUGGUUUGACAUGUAAGGCAUGCGCGGGGUAACAGUCUUUACCAGACAUUGCAAUCGCAAUGUAGCGUCUCUGUAGAUUAAGUGUGAGAGACACGCAGGUUAUGUAUCAGUGGAUUUAUUGUGUCUAGCUAGUGGUGGUAUGAGGCAUAACAAAUUAUAAUGAUAGCACAUCAAACUCAAACUUCAAUUUACUUUAUUUAACUCUUUUAAUUGUUGUUAUUAUUAUUAUUAUUAUUAUUAUUAUUAUUAUUAUUAUUAUUAUUAUUAUUAUUAUUAUUAUUAUUAUUAUUAUUAUUAUUAUUAUUAUUAUUAUUGU